rnacentral:tRNA from 1 species
GGGAAUGUGGCUUAGUGGUAGAGUGCUUGCCUAACAUGCAUGAAGCCAGGGGUUCGAUUCCUCAGUACUG